UUAGUGGCGGACGGGUGAGUAACGCGUGGGUAACCUGCCUUACACAGGGGGAUAACACUUAGAAAUAGGUGCUAAAACCGCAUAAGCGCACAGCUUUGCAUGAAGCAGUGUGAAAAACUCCGGUGGUGUAAGAUGGACCCGCGUCUGAUUAGCUUGUUGGCGGGGUAACGGCCCACCAAGGCGACGAUCAGUAGCCGGCCUGAGAGGGCGGACGGCCACAUUGGGACUGAGACACGGCCCAGACUCCUACGGGAGGCAGCAG
rnacentral:rRNA from 1 species